AGUGAACGCUGGCGGCGUGCUUAACACAUGCAAGUCGAACGAGAAACGGAUUUAGCUUGCUAAAUUGCAGUCUAAGUGGCGCACGGGUGAGUAAUGUAUAGGUAACAUGCCUUCUACUAGGGGAUAACAGUUGGAAACGACUGCUAAUACCCUAUAUUCCUUAUUAGCACAAGUGUGUAAGGGAAAGAUUCAUUGGUAGAAGAGUUGGGCUAUAUUGUAUCAGCUAGUUGGUAGUGUAAUGGACUACCAAGGGUAUGACGCAUAACUGGUUUGAGAGGAUGAUCCAUCCCCACCGGAACUGAGACACGGUCCAGACUCCUACGGGAGGGGAGCAGUGGGGAGGGUUAUACAAUCAGCGAAAGCCUCAUGCAGCAACACCGCGUGGAGGAUGACACAUUUCGGUGCGUAAACUCCUUUUAUAUGGGAAGAUAAUGACGGUACCAUAUGAAUAAGCACCGGCUAACUCCGU
rnacentral:rRNA from 1 species